rnacentral:rRNA from 1 species
CCAGACUCCUACGGAGGCAGCAGUGGGGAAUAUUGCACAAUGGGCGGAAGCCUGAUGCAGCAACGCCGCGUGCGGGAUGACGGCCUUCGGGUUGUAAACCGCUUUCGCCUGUGACGAAGCGUGAGUGACGGUAAUGGGUAAAGAAGCACCGGCUAACUACGUGCCAGCAGCCGCGGUGAUACGUAGGGUGCGAGCGUUGUCCGGAUUUAUUGGGCGUAAAGGGCUCGUAGGUGGUUGAUCGCGUCGGAAGUGUAAUCUUGGGGCUUAACCCUGAGCGUGCUUUCGAUACGGGUUGACUUGAGGAAGGUAGGGGAGAAUGGAAUUCCUGGUGGAGCGGUGGAAUGCGCAGAUAUCAGGAGGAACACCAGUGGCGAAGGCGGUUCUCUGGGCCUUUCCUGACGCUGAGGAGCGAAAGCGUGGGGAGCGAACAGGCUUAGAUACCCUGGUAGUCCACGCUGUAAACGGUGGGUACUAGGUGUGGGGUCCAUUCCACGGGUUCCGUGCCGUAGCUAACGCUUUAAGUACCCCGCCUGGGGAGUACGGCCGCAAGGCUAAAACUCAAAGGAAUUGACGGGGGCCCGCACAAG